rnacentral:rRNA from 1 species
UACGAAGGGGGCUAGCGUUGCUCGGAAUCACUGGGCGUAAAGGGUGCGUAGGCGGGUCUUUAAGUCAGGGGUGAAAUCCUGGAGCUCAACUCCAGAACUGCCUUUGAUACUGAAGAUCUUGAGUUCGGGAGAGGUGAGUGGAACUGCGAGUGUAGAGGUGAAAUUCGUAGAUAUUCGCAAGAACACCAGUGGCGAAGGCGGGUUGCUGGGCUGACACUGACGCUGAUGCGCGAAAGCCAGGGGAGCGAACGGG